GGGGUUGUAGUUUAAGAUAUAACAUUUAAUUUGCAAUUAAAAAAUACAAAUAAUUUUUGUCCUCCUCA
rnacentral:tRNA from 1 species